AACGCGAAGAACCUUACCUGGACUUGACAUGCAAGUAGUAGAACCCUGAAAGGGGGACGAUCCCGCGCAAGCGGGAAGCUUGCACAGGUGCUGCAUGGCUGUCGUCAGCUCGUGCCGUGAGGUGUUGGGUUAAGUCCCGCAACGAGCGCAACCCUUGUGAUUAGUUGCCAUUAUUAAGUUAGGCACUCUAGUCAGACUGCCUGUGUUAAGCAGGAGGAAGGUGGGGAUGACGUCAAGCAAGCAUGGUCCUUAUGUCCAGGGCUGCACACGUGCUACAAUGGCCGGUACAGAAGGAAGCAAUACCGCGAGGUGGAGCUAAUCCCCAAAACUGGUCUCAGUUCGGAUUGGAGUCUGCAACCCGACUCCAUGAAGCUGGAAUCGCUAGUAACGGCGCAUCAGCUACGGCGCCGUGAAUACGUUCCCGGGCCUUGUACACACCG
rnacentral:rRNA from 1 species